GACGAACGCUGGCGGCGUGCUUAACACAUGCAAGUCGAACGGUAAGGCCCUUCGGGGUACACGAGUGGCGAACGGGUGAGUAACACGUGGGUGAUCUGCCCUGCACUUCGGGAUAAGCCUGGGAAACUGGGUCUAAUACCGGAUAGGACCACUGCCUGCAUGGGUGGUGGUGGAAAGCUUUUGCGGUGUGGGAUGGGCCCGCGGCCUAUCAGCUUGGUGGUGGGGUGAUGGCCUACCAAGGCGACGACGGGUAGCCGGCCUGAGAGGGUGACCGGCCACACUGGGACUGAGAUACGGCCCAGACUCCUACGGGGGGCAGCAGUGGGGAAUAUUGCACAAUGGGCGCAAGCCUGAUGCAGCGACGCCGCGUGAGGGAUGACGGCCUUCGGGUUGUAAACCUCUUUCAGCACCGACGAAGCGCAAGUGACGGUAGGUGCAGAAGAAGGACCGGCCAACUACGUGCCAGCAGCCACGGUAA
rnacentral:rRNA from 1 species